AUUUUCCUUGGGAGGUGAUCACGCACAAGCAACACAAUCAUACUUUCAUGGCCUUCGAAGAGACAGAAAUACAAUGGAGAACAUGAUGCUCCAUCUGAUCCAAAUACAACCCAAACGUCCCCAGCUACAACUGACUGAUGUUGCAGUGAGCUAGUGUGUCCUGGAUCCUCAGAAUGAUGGAAGUUGCAGAUCUCAGAGGCUCCACAGAGGUACCAUUCUCCUGAAAGAACUAACGUGGCUCGGAAAACUGCAUCCUUUCUUAUCUGAUUUGAAGAUCAGGCGAACAUUAAAGAAGUGUUUUCCUGUACUGAAAGGUGAAAAAGGGAAAUAAACAUCUUGCACUUCA